GACGUAGGGGGCGAGCGUUGUCCGGAUUCAUUGGGCGUAAAGAGCGCGCAGGCGGCCGAGCAAGUCGGUUGUGAAAUCCCGUGGCUCAACCACGGAACCGCAUCCGAAACUGCUCGGCUAGAGGUAGGUAGGGGAGAUCGGAAUUCCUGGUGUAGCGGUGAAAUGCGCAGAUAUCAGGAGGAACACCGGUGGCGAAGGCGGAUCUCUGGGCCUUACCUGACGCUCAGGCGCGAAAGCUAGGGGAGCGAACAGG
rnacentral:rRNA from 2 species